CCUCUGAAAUCUAUCUUGUCUCAUAUAGCCACUGUGGCCUGUGGCAAACUCUAGCAUCCCAUCCCUUGCAUUCAGGGACAAAAUCUCGACUGUGAGCUCCUCAAACCAAGGGAAGUAACCAGACUUCAAGGUGUGUCUUAAACACAGAGUGCUUUCAGGUGCGACAGACCUGAACUAGGUGCUGGUGGCCAACAAAAGAGACUGGACCAUUGCAGGGGGUGUCUGUGGAGAGGUGUGAAGGAAACGCCCUCUCUGGGCCUUGUGAUGCACCACAAUUGAGCGUGGGGACAUGAGGAGGCAUCCUGCAUCAGUUUGGGAAACCUCUCCAGGGGGCUGGGCAUAUCCUUCCGUUCUCCAACCAGACUGACUCUCCUGGCCUCCAGGUCACGGGCCCCUUCCCUAUGGACCUGACAGAUGGGGAUGCUUUGUGAUGUCCCAGCCCUUCCCCCUCCUCGGCAGGCUUAGGGGUGUGGCCUGGGGUGGGACUUGCUGAGCCAACAAAGCCCAAGGGUGUGGCCACCUGUUGUCCUGGGGACCAUAAAUAGAGGGAGCUCAGCGGCCUGGACAGACUACCUGGAGGUGCUGGUCCAGAAACACGGGCAGGAGACCCAUGGCAUCCAUUCCCCACUGUGCAAAAUCCAACUCUGGCAGCAAAGCGGGCCAAAAGAAGACGUGCAUACAUCAUCGAACCAAGUACAAGAAAAGCAAGGGCCGAAAGAUGACAAGAAAGUCUAGAAAGCCCCUUCGAGGGCGUUGUAGGAACAAAGAAGCUGCCAGAGCUCGGACCACCGCAGCUGACAGCAAUAAGAGAGGAGCAACCCGAGGCAGCCGCCGUCUCCCGCUGAGGAAGAAGGUCCACCGUCGAGCCUGAGGGGGACGACCAGAGCCUGGAAAGUAGCUGCUGAGGUCGCUGCAGUGAGGACCUGUAACACCAGCGAGGCCUGAGACCUCAGAACCUUCCCUGAAGCCUCCACAGGUCUGGCCACAGAGAUUGUGAAAAUAAAAUCAGCUUCUCUGGCG